rnacentral:lncRNA from 1 species
ACAACAACAGCAGUGGAUGCAUCAGCAUCAGCAGCAAUGGAUGGCGAUGCAGUACCCGGCGGCGGCCAUGGCGAUGAUGCAGCAGCAGAUGAUGGUGUACCCGCAGCAUUACAUGCCUGCUUACGCCGCGCAUCCGCAUCACAAUCCCUACCAGCAGGCUCAGGCGGCCGCCGCCGCGGUUGCGUAUCAGCAGCAGCAGCAGCCGCCUAAGCAGCAACUGCAGCAGUCGCAGUCGCAGUCGCAGAAGAUGGGGCCUACUGAUGAGGUCAGGACCAUCUGGGCUGGCGACCUGCACCACUGGAUGGACGAGGCCUACCUUCAC